UACGGGGGGGGCAAGCGUUGUUCGGAAUUACUGGGCGUAAAGGGCUCGUAGGUGGCCAACUAAGUCGGACGUGAAAUCCCUCGGCUUAACCGGGGAACUGCGUCCGAUACUGGUUGGCUUGAGUUUGGGAGAGGGAUGCGGAAUUCCAGGUGUAGCGGUGAAAUGCGUAGAUAUCGGGAGGAACAUCGAUGGCGAAAGCAACCGCCUGGGCCUGAACUGACACUGAGACACGAAAGCGUGGGGAGCAAACAGG
rnacentral:rRNA from 1 species